GAUGAACGCUAGCGGCAGGCUUAAUACAUGCAAGUCGAGGGGCAGCGCGGGUAGCAAUACCUGGCGGCGACCGGCAAACGGGUGCGGAACACGUACGCAACCUUCCCAAAACUGGGGAAUAGCCCUCCGAAAGGAGGAUUAAUACCCCGUAACAUAACGAAGUGGCAUCACUUUGUUAUUAUAGUUCCGACGGUUUUGGAUGGGCGUGCGCCUGACUAGGUAGUUGGCGGGGUAACGGCCCACCAAGCCUACGAUCAGUAACUGGUGUGAGAGCACGACCGGUCACACGGGCACUGAGACACGGGCCCGACUCCUACGGGAGGCAGCAGUAAGGAAUAUUGGUCAAUGGACGCAAGUCUGAACCAGCCAUGCCGCGUGAAGGAUGAAGGUCCUCUGGAUUGUAAACUUCUUUUAUAUGGGACGAAAAAAGGGCAUUCUUGCUCACUUGACGGUACCAUAGGAAUAAGCACCGGCUAACUCCGUGCCAGCAGCCGCGGUAU
rnacentral:rRNA from 1 species